rnacentral:rRNA from 1 species
UUGUUGCAGUUAAGCUCGUAGUUGGAUUUUGGUUAAGAGGGCGCGGUCGGCCGUUUGGUCUGUACUGCGUUGUCUUGACUUCCUGAUGAGGACAUGCUCUUGGUUAACGCUGAGACAUGGAGUCAUCGUGGUUACUUUGAAAAAAUUAGAGUGUUCAAAGCGGGCUUACGCUUGAAUAUAUUAGCAUGGAAUAACACUAUAGGACUCCUGUCCUAUCUCGUUGGUCUCGGGAUGGGAGUAAUGAUUAAGAGGAACAGUUGGGGGCAUUCGUAUUUCAUUGUCAGAGGUGAAAUUCUUGGAUUUAUGAAAGACGAACUUCUGCGAAAGCAUUUGCCAAGGAUGUUUUCAUUAAUCAAGAACGAAAGUUGGGGGCUCGAAGAUGAUUAGAUACCAUCCUAGUCUCAACCAUAAACGAUGCCGACUAGGGAUUGGUGGAUGUUAAUUGAUGACAUCACCAGCACCUUAUGAGAAAUCAAAGUUUUUGGGUUCCGGGGGGAGUAUGGUCGCAAGGCUGAAACUUAAAGGAAUUGACGGAAGGGCACCACCAGGCGUGGAGCCUGCGGCUUAAUUUGACUCAACACGGGGAAACUUACCAGGUCCAGACAUAAGUAUGAUUGACAGAUUGAGAGCUCUUUCUUGAUUCUAUGGGUGGGGGGUGCAUGGCCGUUCUUAGUUGGUGGG